rnacentral:tRNA from 3 species
GCUCCAGUGGCGCAACCGGUUAGCGCGCGGUACUUAUAAUGCCGAGGUUGUGAGUUCGAGCCUCACCUGGAGCA